rnacentral:sRNA from 1 species
UUACAAAUUCAAUUUUUUUAGGCAACUUGGUUUUAAUUUUGAUUUUUAUAAAAAAAAUAGGUUAUUCAAGAUUGUGCAAGCAUCUUUUAUAAUCUCCCCUUCUUAGCUUCGUUUGUAUAUUUUUUUUCUUCUAUCAUUAGAAGGUGAAUAUCAUUUGACAGUCAAAGGAGAAACAUCUGGAGUCACGUUAGUCUCAUCACAACCAAUUCUAGUUCGUCCGUCUCUGAGAUCAGAAAUGGAAUUGACAUCUGCAUUUCUAGAGAUCCAUCAAAUUUUAAAUGAGGUGAAAGCCACACUGCCAUCACAAAAACCUUGACCUUAUUAAAAAGUAUAAAUAAUUAAAAAGUGUAAAUAGUUUAUGCCUAUGAAUGCAGUCAUGAUGCACUUAACAUUGAAAGUUAAUGACCAUAGAAGCAAGACAUAAUGCACUUACCAUUGCCAUGCACACCUUUGUAUUGUUUUAGUUCCUAGUUCAGGGAAUUGAUUUUGAUCUGUUUGAAUGUAUUUAUGCUCUACAAUGAAAGCAGUAACCUGCUCCACUGUACAUCUUGCAUCCACUAGCUUGAUCUAAGUGAACAAAUAGAUGAAAAUAGAUAAGGGCUUAAGAUGAUGCUGAUGAAUCUGAUUUUUAAAAAAAUGUGUAAAUAUAUUUAUUGAUUCUCCUUUGUUCUCUAUUUUUUUUUUAAAUAGUAGAGGGAAACUAUUUGACAUGUUGUUUUGUUUUAGUAAUAAGUUUUAAUUGCUGGGAAUAAAACUAAGUAAAUGAAAUGUUAUAAUUAGCUUUAGUUUUGAAAAAAAAGGGUUACAUAUUGAAUCAUUAAAUGAUUUCUUUUCAGUGAUUAUUUUUCUUUGUUUAUUUUGUUAAUGACAUUCAAGACUGUAUUUAUCAUUGUGUUGGAUCUUUGUAUUGUUUUGAAGAAUCUAUUCAAUCUUAAAGAAGAAAGCUACUGGAAAAACA